CAGAUGGCGAGGAGAGGCUACCGGAACGAGGCCGGAUGGCAGGCGGUUGCCGGAGAAGAGAGAGUAUGAGAAGAGAUGCGCCGCCUAGGAGUGUUGGCUGCGGUCUCAUCCGAGGAAAAGAGAGAGUAUGCAAUUUAGCCCUUGGUUGAAUUUAUGUUGGGCCAUCUUUUGGUGGGGCUUUGGGCUUCAUUGCUGGGCUUCUUUAAUUUGUAGAGAGGCCAUCUUAAAUUACACCAAGCCCAUUUCUAUAAAUCAAAUAAAUCGGGCCCAAUUUUGGAAACAAACUGGCAGCAGCGAAAGCUUGGUGAUGACGAUUUUGGAGGGUUAUGUUCAAGAUUGGCGCAGUCUUAUCAACCAACUUGAUGGCGGAUUUUGCCCCAAACGAGAUGCUUUGAGUAUUUGCAAAGUUUGGAAUCUAUUGUUAUUUUUCUUUCAGUUUUGACAUCUCCAUUAGCCCGACUAAAGACCAUCCUUAGAGAGUUUAUCCAAAAAUCUGGCGGCAGCUCAUCUAAGACCUUAUUUGAGUGAUGUUUACUUUGCACUUCAGGUGGUUCAAUUGGCUUUUAAUCAGAUUUCGGGUGCGCUCGGAUCUGGGCCAUUGUGAGUCCAACCUUUGAAGAUUGCUGGUUACAUCUUCUCUUUGCGCGCAUUUGAGCAGGCUAGAUGACUCAAAGGUGUGAACGUGUAUUUCCACUCCACAAAUAGUUUCAACUUUAGAGAAGUGAAGUUGGCGAUGCAUAGCUGACCUCAACGCCAGAUGACUCAAUUCUUUGACAGGUCUUGGGUGCGCUCGGACCUGGGAUUGUUCGAGUCUGGUUUGAGUGAGGUUGUCAUGUUUGGCAUCUCACGAAGUUAGGAGAAUUCUGCACAGCGACUCGAGAAGAUUGAGUCUUCUCUUCUUGAUGCUUAAGCCAAGGAGAAUGAAGCCAUCGUCAGAAUUGCUUUGAUCAAGGAAGAGCUUGCUAUGAUAGAGAUGUGGGAGAUGGAGAUGACGUUGUUCUUCAAGCAAGAUAGUGCCUCCUUUCAUAUUGCCCGAGGUGCAAUCCCAUAAUUCAAAAGAGAGUUUGACAAACAUAAAGUUGCACAUGUUGAUGAGGAAAUGCUGCGGAAUUUUGAAGACUUCAGAGUCACUUUUGAUCUCUGCUCAGAGAACUUUGGAGGAUCAAGACCCAUUUGCUUAGUAUUGGUGCAAACCGCAGUUUCUAUCAUUUCUCUCUUGAUGAUUCUUAUUUGGUUUGUGAUGGAUAUUUUGACAUCUUCUCCAAAUGCUUGUGCUUCUUUUGAUGGCUUGAUUUUCUUCCCAAUUUGAGACAUAUUCGACUUCACAUAA